rnacentral:sRNA from 1 species
CCUAAGGAUUGUAUCCUUGUUAGAAGAUACAAAGACAAACACUCAUACGGACUUCGGCUACACCAUCAAAGCUUUGGGAAGCAAGAAGAAGCUUUGUUAGUGUUUUGGAGUCGAAUAUGACUUGAUGUGAUGUGUAUGAUUGAGUAUAAUAACUUAAACAGCAACCGGAUCUUAAAAGGCUAAGUAGUGUAUCCUUGUUAGAAGAUACAAAGCCAAAGCCUC